rnacentral:lncRNA from 1 species
CUGAGUCUGACUCACUGAGUUUUGUGAUCGAGUCAAACAAAGGUGAGCUUGGGAAAUAAUGGCGUAGCUCUACUAGCUCAAGUUUGAGCUCUCCCAUAAUGAGUACAUCAAGCUUGUCCUCCAUCUCCUGCCUCCUCUGGAGAUCUCUCUCAUGAUGACUUCGAAGGUAUGAGAAACUACAGAGAUAAUGUUAAACUGCAACAAGGUUUUAGAACACCGGGCAGCCCUUAGCGACGAUCCCUUUCUCUGUUGGGCAAUUUGCCAAAGGGCAAUGGUCUGUGUUCUCAUUCCCCCACCAAUCUGGUAAGCUUAUGUUAUUGUUCUGUAACGCAAAGUAGAUCAACACUCCCAUAACCGCAGUGCCUGCAUCAAGAGCUGCAGAGAGGAUGUAGUUAUGCCUUGCCCACCAUCCCUUGUACCUCCUGAAGAUAUAGUAGUUGAACACGAUCCCAACAGCGAACCACGACCAGUAAUGCACAGCCUUGGCCAUUGGCAUCACAUUAGCCCCUGAGAAGAUCAAGGGAAUAUGAAUCUGAUGUAUCCACUUCUUCUCCGGGAAUUUCCUUGCAAAGAACCAGACCGGGACAGGAGCAAGGAAGCCAAUGAGGAAGAACCAGUUCAUCCCGGGGUAUAUACCUUUACUUGUGAACAUCCUUCCAGGACCGAUGAUUCCCCAAAUGAUCGACGCGUUGUAGAACACUACAUCCCCAGGGCAAGUCCACGGACUACUCUUUGGGAGCAUAUCUGUGUUACAGAUGUUCUCGACUGAAGAAAGCAACCACCAUGUGGUCCCGAAGGAGACAGUUGAAGCAACAAUAGUCGCAACGAGUUGAACGAUGAACAUAGAUCUCGGAGGAAUCUUCAUGUAGUGGCCAAGUUUGAAGUCUCCGACAAAGUACAAGGCUUGAGCUAUACUCACAGAACCAUAAGUCUUAAAAGCCACAUUGGCAAGUGGCUUUCCCGGAUACAAGAACCCGAUGAUCAGUUCCGAUAUAACAUUAAGACCCAUUCGCUGGUUUGUGGUCGCUAGGAUAACUCCAAUAGGCAAAGUGAAGGUAAAGGCGAUGGCACAAGCGAGUAAAAGUCCCCACCAUGGGAGCUGAAGCUGUUUGCCAAAUCCCUCACAUGCAUAAAGAGCUAGCACAAAGGAAGCAGCGAGAACCGCAACGAACCACCAUUGAGUAUUUUGAGACGCAGAGUAGAGAAAAAAAGAAAAAAAAAAGAAUCUUACUUUCCGUCAAAGAGGGCGACAUGAGAAAUGGUUGCGGUAAGGGUACCGAAGCUGAGCCCAUAGAUCAGAGCAAACAGAAUGCUAAGGUAAAGCUUGCUAUAGCUUUCGUAAGCAGGAAGAUCAAUAUUGAAUGUUUUCUGGUUGAGGAUACGAGUGGUGUUGUAACGCUGACCAGUGUGAUCAAAUGGGUGAGAGGUAUAGAAAGGAAACUUCUUUGCCUCGUAAGCGUUGCUCCAGUAGAAGAUAGGAAGGAUGAUGUAGAAGAAGAUGAUAAAUCCGCCAAAGGAAUUGGCUAUAGCGAAGAACGGUACAGCUAAAGGACUGCCUAAGAAACCUGCAACCGUGGACCAAUCAAGACCAAAUGAGCCAAUGCCGAGACCGUGCAGCCCUGAACCGAUCUGUUGAGCGGUUACAGAGCGGGUCCAUAUCCAGCAGACAAAGGAGAGAUAUGAGAUGGAAGGGAAAAGAUAGCCUGGGACUAUGUAGUAAGUGAAGCUCAGGAAGAAGACUAUCAAGAAGAAUCUAAGUUUCGUUUGUUUUCCUUCACGCUUCUCCUCCUUCUCAUGUAAGGCUCUAAUCCAUCAAAAAGUAAAAUUUCGUGACAGUUACAAAUGUGAAUGAUUUGGAGAAAAAAACACGAACCUAAAGAGAGAGACUUGAACAAGAUUUGCAGGCCACCACAUGUAAGGUGAGUCCACUAGGUAUUUCCUGAACAUACCCGCCCAUCCAUAUCCCAACAACUACAUGACAGAUAAAUAAUGUAACUGUUACAAACAAAAACUAUGUAAUUUUUGAAUUAUAUUGUAUAUUGUGUAUACAUACCUGAGUGGUUUGGACAAGCAACAUGGCGGCGG